GGAGAGGUGGCAGAGUGGUCGAAUGUACCUGACUCGAAAUCAGGCGUACUAGCAAUAGUACCGAGGGUUCGAAUCCCUCCCUCUCCGCCA
rnacentral:tRNA from 4 species